UUGUGCGGCUCCAGGAGAACUUUCAGGUGUCUCCACCAUGGUCUGGGCUUCAGUUCUCCUCACUUUCCUCGCUCACUGCACAGGUGG
rnacentral:pre_miRNA from 1 species